UAAGGAAUAUUGGUCAAUGGACGCAAGUCUGAACCAGCCAUGCCGCGUGAAGGAUGAAGGUCCUCUGGAUUGUAAACUUCUUUUAUAGGGGGCGAAAAAAGGGAAAUCUUUCUCACUUGACAGUACCCUAUGAAUAAGCACCGGCUAACUCCGUGCCAGCAGCCGCGGUAAUACGGAGGGUGCAAGCGUUAUCCGGAUUCACUGGGUUUAAAGGGUGCGUAGGCGGGCGUAUAAGUCAGUGGUGAAAUCCUGGAGCUUAACUCCAGAACUGCCAUUGAUACUAUAUGUCUUGAAUAUGGUGGAGGUAAGCGGAAUAUGUCAUGUAGCGGUGAAAUGCAUAGAUAUGACAUAGAACACCUAUUGCGAAGGCAGCUUACUACGCCUAUAUUGACGCUGAGGCACGAAAAGCGUGGGGGAUCAAAACAGGAUUUAGAUACCCUGGUAGUCCACGCCCUAAACGAUGAUUACUCGACGUGUGCGAUAAACGGUACGCGUCUGAGCGAAAAGC
rnacentral:rRNA from 1 species